rnacentral:lncRNA from 1 species
CUGAGGGCAUCACGCAGGACUUCCUCUCUUUACAUUAUCCUUUAAAAAAUAGGAGAAAAACUGAAAGUCUUCAUAUUCUUUAUUUUUCAUUGACGCAGCAUGCAUACAAUUCAUAUAAAGCACAUCUUUACAGUUUUUAUUUAAGAAAAAUGUUGAAAAAUGGGAGCUUUAGUUAUUAAGGUUUUCUCUAAUGGUGAAACCUAGCUUUCUACUGGUUC